GGUGGUUCUCGGGUGAUGCACCCCAGAAUCAUGCUCCCUCCUCUCUGGUUCCGGGUACAUCAUCUGAGAACCGCA
rfam:Myotis davidii contig167224, whole genome shotgun sequence.